CGCAGGAAAUUUGAGAGGAGCUGUCCUUAGUACGAGAGGACCGGGAUGGACACACCGCUGGUGUACCAGUUGUUCCGCCAGGGGCAUCGCUGGGUAGCUAUGUGUGGCCGGGAUAAGUGCUGAAAGCAUCUAAGCACGAAGCCCCCCUCAAGAUGAGAUUUCCCAUUGCGCAAGCAAGUAAGAUCCCUCAAAGACGAUGAGGUAGAUAGGUUCGGGGUGGAAGCGUGGCGACACGUGCAGCUGACGAAUACUAAUCGAUCGAGGACUUAACCA
rnacentral:rRNA from 1 species